rnacentral:tRNA from 1 species
GGGCCGGUAGAUCAACGGUGCACUUUCUUUAGGAAAGAAAGCGCCCAAAGAAAGUUGCGUUUAAGAUCGCCACCUUGGCAUGGUGGAGGCUCCGGGUUCAAACCGAUAUGAAGCAGUCUGUCUGCUUCCUUUCAGGGAAAGUCCCGGCCGGUCCA